ACACUGACUGUGCCCUUAAGUCUGCAUGACAGUGAUGCUCCACAGAAGUGCAGAUGGUUGUGAACCACCAUGUAGUUGCUGGGAAUUGAACCCAUGACCUCUGGAAGAGCAGUCAGUGCUCUUAACCGCUGAGCUAUCACUCCAGCCUUCAUGGAGAACUUUAAAGCAGUCAAUCUUAAGGCUCUUCUUGUGUUCUGGGAUAACCGCCCGCACCAAGUUGGUUGGAAGACUCCUGAAACCCCCCAAAGGCUAAAGCCACCACAGUUGUCUGUGAAAGAACCCCCGCCUUUCUCCCACCUGUAAAAGGAGUCACUGUGGGGUCACAGAAUUAAAUUGUCGAUAGAGGGCGCCAGAGGACGGCGAAGAAACUACGGACAACGGCGUUGGCAUAUUUCUUUGGUUUAAAUUACGAUUUAAAAAAAGAAAAAGAAAAAGAAAUGAAAGAGAAAAAAAUUGAAAA
rnacentral:lncRNA from 1 species